AUUGAACGCUGGCGGCAGGCCUAACACAUGCAAGUCGAGCGGAAACGAGUUAUCUGAACCUUCGGGGAACGAUAACGGCGUCGAGCGGCGGACGGGUGAGUAAUGCCUAGGAAAUUGCCCUGAUGUGGGGGAUAACCAUUGGAAACGAUGGCUAAUACCGCAUAAUGCCUACGGGCCAAAGAGGGGGACCUUCGGGCCUCUCGCGUCAGGAUAUGCCUAGGUGGGAUUAGCUAGUUGGUGAGGUAAUGGCUCACCAAGGCGACGAUCCCUAGCUGGUCUGAGAGGAUGAUCAGCCACACUGGAACUGAGACACGGUCCAGACUCCUACGGGAGGCAGCAGUGGGGAAUAUUGCACAAUGGGCGCAAGCCUGAUGCAGCCAUGCCGCGUGUGUGAAGAAGGCCUUCGGGUUGUAAAGCACUUUCAGUCGUGAGGAAGGURGU
rnacentral:rRNA from 1 species